AAAAAUAAAGCGAUAUAUAAUUGCAAUCAGUUUCGACCUGAUCCUAGAUUAAUAAUCUAUUUUUA
rnacentral:tRNA from 1 species